GACGAACCGUGCGAACGUUGUUCGGAAUCACUGGGCUUAAAGGGCGCGUAGGCGGGCAGGCAAGUCAGGGGUGAAAGCCCACGGCUCAACCGUGGAAGCGCCUUUGAUACUGCCGGUCUCGAGGGAGGUAGGGGCGUGCGGAACUUCCGGUGGAGCGGUGAAAUGCGCAGAUAUCAGGAGGAACACCAAUGGCGAAGGCAGCUCGCUGGAACGGAACUGACGCUGAGGCGCGAAAGCGUGGGGAGCGAACAGG
rnacentral:rRNA from 1 species